GGGCGGCUAGCUCAGUUGGUUAGAGCGGCGGAUUUACAUUCCGUAAGUCGUAGGUUCGAGUCCUAUGCCGCCCACCA
rnacentral:tRNA from 1 species